rnacentral:rRNA from 1 species
GAGUUUGAUCAUGGCUCAGGAUGAACGCCGGCGGUGUGCCUAAUACAUGCAAGUCGUACGCACUGGCCCAACUGAUUGAUGGUGCUUGCACCUGAUUGACGAUGGAUCACCAGUGAGUGGCGGACGGGUGAGUAACACGUAGGUAACCUGCCCCGGAGCGGGGGAUAACAUUUGGAAACAGACGCUAAUACCGCAUAACAACAAAGGCCACAUGGCUUUUGUUUGAAAGAUGGCUUUGGCCAUCACUCUGGGAUGGACCUGCGGUGCAUUAGCUAGUUGGUAAGGUAACGGCUUACCAAGGCGAUGAUGCAUAGCCGAGUUGAGAGACUGAUCGGCCACAAUGGAACUGAGACACGGUCCAUACUCCUACGGGAGGCAGCAGUAGGGAAUCUUCCACAAUGGGCGCAAGCCUGAUGGAGCAACACCGCGUGAGU